ensembl:lncRNA OSBPL10-AS1 OSBPL10 antisense RNA 1
AAUCAGGAGCAUCACAAACCACAGAACGGUUUUGAUUUACAAGUCAUUAGAAGCAAGAGGCAUUUACUGUUCUUUGCAGGCCAAAAGGGACUGCAUCAUGAAUAAUGGAAAAAGCAAAAUGCAUUAAGAACUCUUCGGCAGAUAAUGUUAUAAUGUUCUCUCCAGGCCACGCAGAAGAAUUUCCAUUUCUUCUUCUUCUUUUUUUUUUUUCUUUUGAGACAAAGUCUCACUCUGCUGUCCAGGCUGGAGUGCAGUGGCGCGAUCUCGGCUCACUGCAACCUCUGCCUCCCAGGUUCAAGCGAUUCUCCUGCCUCAGCCUCUCAAGUAGCUGGGACUACAGACUUCCUCUGAUGCACAAACCUGGGAUGUGCUGUGCAAAUCAGCUACCUGGGCUUCCCACCUGUGGAUGCUCACUGACCUGGGGCCGCACCAGGUGAUUUCAGGACUUCCUCAGAGAAAACCCAGGCAAGACACCAGCAACAGAGCUACCCUGAUAAUUAUUAAAUUAGCUCUAUGUGGAGAAGCC